GGUACGUGAACGAAUCGUUCAACGAACGUGAACAUUAGUGAAUGGACUGACUCGAUACGGCCGACCGGGUCUACCAAAAUAACCCAAAUGAAUGAAAUGAACGGAUCUUUUUACUGAAUAAACCGGAAUGAUCCGGUUCACUGAAAUGAACGGGUUUGCCCACCACAACACAAUAGCAUUAGUGUGAAAUUUACAUUCAUGGAGAGCAUCACUCCGAAUAAAUCAUCUUAGUUUGUUGACACGUGAUAACUUAUAAAGCUUUGUCUCUCAGUGAAUGCUAAUCUCGUCUCUGAGCAUCAUACAUAUCAGUGAUUUUGUGUCGUAUUUUUGAUGCAUGGCGUGUAAGAUAAUUAGUAUUUGAUGAAUGGCGUUAAUGUAAAUGCUAUUCUGACGGCACGCAUGCUGCCUCCGGGGGAUUUGGCGGCGCAUCGUAGAGAUGAAUGCUGAGAGAAACGACAAGCGAAAAGUGAUGAUGAAGGCAUCCGAGGAAGAAGUAAAUGUGCCAACCAUUAGUAAGAUGACGUGGAGGUAAUAUUACUACAUUUGGCAACACACCUGCUGCGGCUAAUAUGAGCAGAGCCAGGAAAGUUAAUGUUAUAAACGAAGGCAUUCGGUGUCAUGGAUGAUGGAUGGCGAGGACCUCUAUACGUCAGUUUACAGCGUUGUAUCCGGAUGUCUUCAAGCAGGCGACGUCUCAUGAUGACUUUUAACUGCUCAUCAGUGUCACCUCGAGGAGGAAGUGGAAAUCGAAAUCGUCAUCGAUGACUUUGACCAAAUGCGAGAAAAGAGGAAGGGCGAGAAGGUGGAUUUCAUCAUAAUUCUCCCACACCGUAAAGUAAGACGCUUGCAUAACAUCUCUACCGGUAAAAUGCAUGAAAAUGACUGGAGGUUUGGGAUUAGCAUUUAGCAUUAGCAUGGCAGCACAAAAAACCCAGCAGUCUUUUCAUUUUAGGACUUUUUUCGGUUUCAAUCAGGACCUUUUCUGCUUCCAGUGACCUAUGACCUCCUCACAAAUGGACAAUUCCUACAGACACAUUCAUUUUUUACUAAAGUUUUUCCAGUAGGUCCUAAUGAACAGCAUAUUUCUCCACUUAUAUAGAGGAUCUUUGACUAGUGCUUUCGGUAGGUCCAUGUACUAAUAGAGGAUCUUUGACAAGCAUUUUUGGAGUCGGUCCUUAAAAACAGCAGCACUCUCCUGUCAUGUAGCGAAUUUUUUUUUUGUUUUUGCGGUAGGUCCUUAAAAGCAGCUAAGGUCCAGUCAUAUAAAGGAUCUUGGACUAGCGUUUUUUUCUUAAGUAGGUCCCUAAAACAGCAUAUAGCAUACAGAGGAUCUUACUAGCAUUUUAGUAGUAAAGUAGAUUCCUAGCAUUGUGUUCUUGUCACAUAGAGCAUCUUUGAUUAGUCAUAUAGAGGAUCUUUGACUAGUAUUUUUUGCAGUUGGUCCUUAAAAAAAAUAUUCAGUUCCUUCAGUUCUGUGCAGGAUCUUUGACUGCAGAGGUCCGUAAAAAAAACAGCAGUGCUCACCUGUUAUAUAGAGGAUCUUUGAAUAGUGUUUUUUUGUUUUUUUGUUUUUUUUUAGAGUAGGUCCGUCAAAGAUUCAUAGCAUAAUCUUCUUGUCAUAUAGAGCAUCUUUGACUAGCUUUUGUGUAAUUGGUAUUCAAAUAACAGCAGAGUCGUCCUGUCAUAUAGAGGAUCUUUGACUAGUGUUUUUUUUGUUUGUUUUGUUUUUGGAGUAGGUUCCAUCAACGCUGCAGUGGUCCUGUAUAUAAAGGAUCUUUGACAAGCUUAAAAACACCAUACUCUCCUGUCAUACCAACACUCCUGUCAUAUUGAGGAUCUUUGACUAGUGUUUUUGCAGUUGACCCCCCUCCAGUCUCCAGUCAUGUAAAGGAUCUUUGGCUAGCGUUUUUUUUUUUUUUUUUUUGAGUAGGUCCUUCAAAGCUGCAAUGGAGUGGUCCUGUAUAUAAAGAAUCUUUGACAAGCUUUUUUUGCAUUCAAGCUUAAAAACAGCAUAACACUCCUGUCAUAUUGAGGAUCUUUGACUAGUGUUUUUACAGUUGGUCCUAUAGAAAAACUGUAGACCCCAGAAUCUUUGACUAGCAGUAGGUCCUUUAAAACAACAUAGCCCUACUGUCAUGUAGGUUAUUUUUUGUAGUAGAGCUAAAAAUAACAACAUUUACUCCUAUGAAAUAAACCAGCAGAUGCAUCCUGUCACAUCGAGGAUCUUGAUUCAGUUUUUUUGUAGUCGUCAUCGGUCUUUAAAAACAACAAAGCCCUCCUGUCCAAUAGAGAAUCUCUCCCUACUGUUUAUGUAGUCGUCAUGUCCAGUAUAUGCCCCAUGUCCUCGUCCAUGACAUGGUUAAUAGCUCACCAUGUCAUCGCCUCUGACAAAAAAGGUUAAUUUUUAAGCGUGUUGGCAUUGAUAGCGUGGUGGGAAAACAGUGUGAUUGCAGUGUAGGUUUGUAGUGCAGUGAGUAACCUUUGAGAAGGAUUUGUGUAGUAAUGUCUCCAUGAUCUGUGAGGGCGUGGCUGUGUUGUCGUCUGCUGGUUGUUGGUGAUAACACAACAUACAGUAGCAAUACCACGCCAGUAGACAGGAGCAUCCAUCCUUUCCAUCAUGUAGAAAAGCAUGAAUAUACCAUCAUAUUCAUCAUAUCAUAUUCCAAUAUAGCACGAUAUAGUCAAUGCUUUAUCAGCUUCAAAUGGAAGUGUCUUAUCAUCAUGUUAGCUCAUCAAACUGCAGGUAGUAAAAUAAUACCAGAUUGCGCUUUAUGGACGUGCAAUAAAAACGUCUAAUGAAAAGCGGAAGCGGACAAUAGUGAGGCAAAGCCGAUGAGAAAGAGGUGCUUUUUCAGAAGGAUUAAUCUUUGCUUACAUGAAUUAAUCAUUUCAGCACUCAUUUUCUAUUUUGAGCUUUGCAUUUGGAGCAUUGCCAUUAUGCAACCUGCGUUUGUGUGAGUGUGACACCGCUCACAUUUCAGCACGCAUUUUAAGACAUUAUGUCUUCUCAGGAGAAAUGGAUGCACGAGUGCUGUUGACAGUAGGGGAGCUGCGGUUCAUUGAAGGAGAACUUGUA